GGGUUGUGAGGUUAAGCGACUAAGCGUACACGGUGGAUGCCCUGGCAGUCAGAGGCGAUGAAGGACGUGCUAAUCUGCGAUAAGCGUCGGUAAGGUGAUAUGAACCGUUAUAACCGGCGAUUUCCGAAUGGGGAAACCCAGUGUGAUUCGUCACACUAUCAUUAACUGAAUCCAUAGGUUAAUGAGGCGAACCGGGGGAACUGAAACAUCUAAGUACCCCGAGGAAAAGAAAUCAACCGAGAUUCCCCCAGUAGCGGCGAGCGAACGGGGAGCAGCCCAGAGCCUGAAUCAGUGUGUGUGUUAGUGGAAGCGUCUGGAAAGGCGUGCGAUACAGGGUGACAGCCCCGUACACAAAAAUGCACAUAUUGUGAGCUCGAUGAGUAGGGCGGGACACGUGGUAUCCUGUCUGAAUAUGGGGGGACCAUCCUCCAAGGCUAAAUACUCCUGACUGACCGAUAGUGAACCAGUACCGUGAGGGAAAGGCGAAAAGAACCCCGGCGAGGGGAGUGAAAAAGAACCUGAAACCGUGUACGUACAAGCAGUGGGAGCACGCUUAGGCGUGUGACUGCGUACCUUUUGUAUAAUGGGUCAGCGACUUAUAUUCUGUAGCAAGGUUAACCGAAUAGGGGAGCCGAAGGGAAACCGAGUCUUAACUGGGCGUUAAGUUGCAGGGUAUAGACCCGAAACCCGGUGAUCUAGCCAUGGGCAGGUUGAAGGUUGGGUAACACUAACUGGAGGACCGAACCGACUAAUGUUGAAAAAUUAGCGGAUGACUUGUGGCUGGGGGUGAAAGGCCAAUCAAACCGGGAGAUAGCUGGUUCUCCCCGAAAGCUAUUUAGGUAGCGCCUCGUGAAUUCAUCUCCGGGGGUAGAGCACUGUUUCGGCAAGGGGGUCAUCCCGACUUACCAACCCGAUGCAAACUGCGAAUACCGGAGAAUGUUAUCACGGGAGACACACGGCGGGUGCUAACGUCCGUCGUGAAGAGGGAAACAACCCAGACCGCCAGCUAAGGUCCCAAAGUCAUGGUUAAGUGGGAAACGAUGUGGGAAGGCCCAGACAGCCAGGAUGUUGGCUUAGAAGCAGCCAUCAUUUAAAGAAAGCGUAAUAGCUCACUGGUCGAGUCGGCCUGCGCGGAAGAUGUAACGGGG
rnacentral:rRNA from 1 species